AAAAGGAGUUUUUCCUUUGGACCAUAUGCAUUUAUGUGACCUGGAGAAGAAAGAGUACCUCAAUUGUCUUAAAUCCUCUGGGCAUAAAUCUGACAACUGUAGACACCUCUCUAAAAAGUACCUGGUGUGCCGUAUGGAGAAGAACUUGAUGGCAAAGCAAGACAUGUCAGAACUUGGCUUUGGCAAAAAUGUUGAUGCCGGAACUAAAUCAGAGGAAAAGACAGACCAAACGAAAGAAAAAUGAAGGUGAAGUACUUGCUAUGUACUUUCGAAUAGUCUGGGCUCUGGCUGUGAAACUCCAGGCCGUCAUUAGUCGUAUCUCCACAAGUUCUGUCUGUUCUAUGCGGAGGUGCACAUUUUUCCUCUCAACCUUUUGUAACGUUUUAUCUCUUUCUUCUCCUGGAUCCUCUCUGAACUGUAGUAAAAAAAUGUAUAGCGAGAGGGGAGAGAACACUAAAGGAAG
rnacentral:misc_RNA from 1 species